UAUAAAUGUAAUUGUGGUUUUCCGUAUUUAGCGUUUGACCGCUCGUCUUAUUUGAAAAAAAAAUAUAAUUAGUAUUUUUAUUGUUAUUAGAUGAUAAAACAUGAGUAGUAUUUUAUGUGUGACUAUUUUUUUAAUUUUUUUAUAAUUUUUUUAAAUAAGAUGGACAAUCAAACGUAGGACACGGAAACUCACAAUUGCACUGAUA
rfam:Oryza sativa (indica cultivar-group) chromosome 7, whole genome shotgun sequence.